AAGUCGUAACAAGGUUUCCGUAGGUGAACCUGCGGAAGGAUCAUUAUUGAAAUAAAUCUGAUGGGUUGCUGCUGGUUCUCUAGAGAGCAUGUGCACACUUGUCAUCUUUAUAUCUCCACCUGUGCACCUUUUGUAGACCUGGAUAUCUUUCUGAAUGCCUGGCAUUUGGGUUUUGAGGAUUGAUUUUCUUUCCUUGCAUUUUCAGGUCUAUGUUUCUUCAUAUACCCCAUGUAUGUUAUAGAAUGUAAUAAACAGGCCUUUGUGCCUAUAAACCUAUACAACUUUCAGCAACGGAUCUCUUGGCUCUC
rnacentral:misc_RNA from 1 species